rnacentral:rRNA from 1 species
GAUGAACGCUGGCGGCGUGCCUAAUACAUGCAAGUCGAGCGAACGGACGAGAAGCUUGCUUCUCUGAUGUUAGCGGCGGACGGGUGAGUAACACGUGGAUAACCUACCUAUAAGACUGGGAUAACUUCGGGAAACCGUAGCUAAUACCGGAUAAUAUUUUUAACCGCAUGGUUCAAAAGUGAAAGACGGUCUUGCUGUCACUUAUAGAUGUAUCCGCGCUUCAUUAGCUAGUUGGUAAGGUAACGGCUUACCAAGGCAACGAUGCAUAGCCGACCUGAGAGGGUGAUCGGCCACACUGGAACUGAGACACGGUCCAGACUCCUACGGGAGGCAGCAGUAGGGAAUCUUCCGCAAUGGGCGAAAGCCUGACGGAGAAACGCCGCGUGAGUGAUGAAGGUCUUCGGAUCGUAAAACUCUGUUAUUAGGGAAGAACAUAUGUGUAAGUAACUGUGCACAUCUUGACGGUACCUAAUCAGAAAGCCACGGCUAACUACGUG